CAUCUUCGGCUUGACAAGCACUCCUCGAUUCCCGAUACCAUUGCAGCAGCGAGGCCGAUGCAGCAGCAGAGCGGCCACACCUCUUUUUAAAUCCCCUCGAUCUCUCUCCCGCGUCUUCUCAUCUAUUCCUGUUGCUCUUAGCGAAGUCCUUCCCUUUAGCGUGCGUGAGCUUGCGGACUGUCGCUGUCGCACGUACCAACUAUUGGCCUUCCCGCGCGCUUUCUCUCGCACGCACGCAGUGCUAGGCGGCUGCGCGGCUCAGCGGUGACUGCACCGCCCGGCCUCAUCCGCGAGAUUUUCCUUCUCUAUCUACACAAUGGAUCCUCUGCAACGGGAGGCGUCCAAGAACGGUGAGGAGGGGGCGGCGGGGGCAGAGAGGCCCUCCUACUUCCGCGGCUUCUUCGACGCAGAGAAGCGCCGCAAGGUGGUCAACCAUGACCCUACCGUAGGCCAGGCCAUUGGCGGCGCCGUUGUAAUGGCACUCCCGGUGGCGCUCAUCAUAGUUUUGGUGAUGCGUCGACACGCGCGCCUCGCCACUCAGGAGGCGUCCGGCGCCGCGCCGAAGGAGGGCGGCUUCUUCAGCGAGAUGCAGAAAAUGAUGCGGCAGACCAUGAAUCCGAUGGGUGAGAAGAACUUCAAGGUGUCGGUGAAGGACACGAAGUUUAGCGACGUCAUCGGUGUACCAGAGGCACUGGCAGAGGUACAGCAGUACGUCAACUUCCUGAAGACGCCGCAAGUUUUCACCCGGCUCGGCGGCCGCCUACCGAAGGGUUGCAUUCUCACAGGAGAGCCCGGCACCGGCAAGACGCUGCUCGCAAAGGCGGUGGCCGGCGAGGCGAGCGUUCCCUUCUACAGCUGCAGUGGUGCUGACUUCAUCGAGGUGUACGCCGGCUCCGGACCAAAGCGAGUGCGCGAGCUCUUCGCGGCGGCCAAGAAAGAUGCCCCGUCUGUUAUCUUCAUCGACGAGAUCGACGCCGUCGGCUCGCGCAGCAGCGGGAACGGUGCGAUGGGUCUCAGCAGCGAGGAGAAUCGAACCAUCAAUCAACUGCUGGCCGAGCUGGACGGGCUGCAACCGAACGAGGCGGUUGUCGUGUUCGCGGCUACGAACUUUGUGGACAGCCUAGACAAGGCACUCCUGCGCGAGGGCCGCUUUGACCGCAAGGUCGAGAUCCCGAUGCCGGACAGGCAGGCUCGCCAGGACCUCUUCAACCACUAUCUUAGCCGCAUCGCCUGCGAGGAUGCCGGGUCGCUCUCGAAGAAACUGGCCGAGCUGACUCCUGGAGUGUCGCCAGCCACCAUCGCAGCCAUCGUCAACGAAGGUGCUCUCAGCGCCGCCAUAAAGGACAAAGCCGUCGUCGCCGCCGUGGACCUCCUCCCCGCGAUUGACGACGUACUCGUCGGCAAGAAGCACCGCAGUCGCAUGAGCGACGAUGCUGCGAGAAGGGUGGCACUACAUGAGAGCGGCCACGCACUCGUGGCAUGGCUGCUGCCAGAGCAGACAGACGUGGUCAAGAUCUCCAUCACGCCGCGCGGCCCCGCCGGAGGCUUCACCCAGCAGGUCGGCCGCGAGGUGUUGGACAUGGCGACUGAGUUUUCGCUCUUCACGGACAUUUGCGUCAUGCUGGGUGGGCGGCUGGCGGAGAUGACGCAGCACGAGUCCCUCACCACUGGUGCUCAGGACGACUACCAGCGGGCGACUCAGACGGCCAUUCGUGAGUUCCUUGCGUUUGGUAUGUCUCGCCAGGUCGGUCUCCUCUCGUACGAGCCGCAGCGACUCAGCGAGGGUCGCAUGCACCAGAAGCACUCGGAGGCAGCGCAUAAGAUGGCGGAGGAGGAGGCGGCCCGGCUGGUCGCUGCCGCGUCUGAUCACGUGAAGAUGCUCUUGCGGUCUCAUGAUGCACUACUGCAGAAGCUCGCGGCUUCGCUCUUCGAGAGGAAGGAACUGCUGCGCGAGGAUAUAGAAGCGAUUGUGGGUCCACGCCCUGGAACCAGCUCGGCCGUGUCGGAGCAGACGCGUGCGGCACUUCGCCGCUUCGUCGACGCGUCUGAAGCCGCAGCGCUGCAACGCCAGACCGCAAGAGAGGCGAUGUGUGCCACCCUUUCUACUGCGUAAGGUGGAAGGUGGGUGGCCGACACAGAUACACGCAUGCAGGUGCAACUCCUGGUUGCCUUUUGUUCAGGCCCCUUCUUUUCUCUCCGUAUUUGCUGCUCUCUUUUCGGUGCUGAUCAAGCAGUGCUGCUGCCAAGUGGGGCGGCGCUGCUGAUCGCACGGAGUGCUCAUGCCUGUAGCUCACAGAGGUGUGUUGACACCUGCGGCCAAGUCGGUCGCGUUGCGCUGUUGUUGAGCGACGCUUGCUAGUUGUGCAAAGAGAGACAGAGGCCCGUUGCGGCACGCCCGCAUCCACAUGAACACAGAUGUGCUGCCGCCGCACUUCGCCAGUGGAGGUGGGGAUAAUUAGCUUGGAUCUGCAUCUAAAGCAGCACCCCUGGGACAGACUUGUGAGCGUCCCCGCUGCGUUGAGCGCGUGAGGAGGUGUGCCUUAUCCUGCACAGGGCGGAGUAGCUGAGGGUCGCCACUGUCGCUUGCCCGUGCAGGUCAGUGCGCCGACUCUUUCAGCGCCGCUGCUGUGAAUCGGUAUCUGGACAACAGCCUCGCCACGCUGACCCGCGCAAAUCGCGCUGGUCAGCACUCUAUCUAGUUGCUCUCUGCUCCUUGGUUUCGUGUUCGCAUGCAUCUGUUUGCCAGCUCCCUGUUUUCCUCCCUCUCCUGACUUCUUGAUCCGCUCUCAAACGUCGACACCCCAAAG
rnacentral:misc_RNA from 1 species